UUUCUGGGUUCUCCCACUCAGCGCCACGAUCAUCAGUUCAACCCACUCCCAGCACCUCCCAGUCUCCCACUCAGCCUUCCUCCCAAGUCAAUAUGGACCCCGAGCCACCGAUUCAGGUAAUUUGAACCAUUUGCUGUUUACUGGUGCAUUGUUGAUUUGUUGCUACUUGCUGUUUACUGGUGGGUGCAUUGUUGAUUUGAUGAAUUAUUUUAUUGUUAGUUUUGUUGCUGGCUUGCUAAAAUCCAAUGCUAAACCGUCCAAACUAUAUAGCUUGAUUAUGCAUGAUUAGGUAGAAGCUAAGUUGGGGAUAUGUAUCCCACAUAUUGAGUAUAUGAAGUUUGUUAUGUAUCUAUUUGAGCAUAAUUUUAAUAUACAGAACAUGGAUGCUUUAUGUUGUUUUCCUAACUCGCAUUCUUUCACUGCAGAUCUUCAAUAUGCUUAUUUGGGUUAAAGAUCUAUGUUAUUCUCAAUCAUGGCAACUAGACUACAAUUUGAGAAUAAUUAUGAAAUUGGAGUGUUUUCUAAACUUACUAAUGCCUAUUGUUUGGUUGCCAUAGGAGGAUCUGAAAACUUCUACAAGUUUUCAUUCUUUUUGGAUUAGUGAUGAAUUUAAUUUUAACUUAUUUAAAAUUGUCUUCAAAUGGUUUGCUUUUUUUUUAAAUGGUUCUAAUUUUAACUUAUUUAAAAUGCCCUUAUUGUGUUUUGCUUCAGUUCUUACUUCUGAGUUCAAGUUUAUAUUUCUUUAAUUUUCAUGUUUAUUAAGUAUGGUCAUUUUAACAUAGGUGUAUUGUGGUACUGUAAUACUUUAAUACAAACAAAUAAAAAAAUGUAACAUUAAUUUUAGCUAUACUUUUUAAGUGUUAUCAUCAAAAUAUAUAAUCACCAUAAGUCCAUAAUUAUUGGAAUAAUAACUACCAUAAAAUUCACCUUAAAAUAUAUAUAUUAAUUACAUAAAUUAAAUCCUCUUACAUUUAAAUUUUUGCAGGAGUGUAUUUGCCAAAGCUAUGUGAGAAGCACAAGACAAACCCUCACCGUUCCAUGGAUGAGCUAAUGAGCUCAGGAGAAGCAGCCCCAAGACCUAUUUCUAAUCUCUUUUAAGAAAUUUUAUCAGCAUCUACCUCUUCUCCAUAGUGAUCAUCAUCAUCCUUUUUCAAUAUUCUCUUCAAGAGAUGGUACAAAUUUUAAUGGGUUGGGUUCGGAUUUAAACAUUGGUGUUGGUAUAGAGUUUAGCAUUAAGUAUGUAACUAGUUAUAUAUGUGUUAUCCAAAUUUGUGAAAUUUUGGAAAUAUUGUUGGUCCUCUUUUUGAGAGAGAUGAUAUAAACUUCGAUACAAUAAAAAAAAGUGUUAUUUCGGU